AGAAAGAGUUGUAUGGCAUUACGGGCAGUGAAGAGACUUUAGCUCUCAUAUCUAACCAAACCUUCGAAUAUUCAGGAAUUUAAGGUCAGGACAGUUAAUGACUCAUCCAAGGCCACUGAGGCAACAGAGCAGGGCCAGGACCCGUAUGUAAAUCUCCAGGCCCUGCUCCCUGGUUCUUCACCAUCUGCUUCAUGAUUUCACUGAAUUUGCUUGUUCUGGCAAGGUGGAAAAUCUCUCUUAAUCUGCUUCUGAAAUAAAAUUUUCCCUGCCAUUUGCGACACUCCAGAGUAUAGAAACAUAACAAAAUCAUUGUUUUGUGUUAAUACUUCCAUUUUCAGCCAUCCUGGCAAUCAAUCAGAACUUUUAUCUUCUUGCCUGAAGAGACAAGGACAUUUAAUUCACAACAAUUUCCUUCCUCCUUUCUCUCAACGACUCUGUUAAAUAAAACAUGAUGGAUCACACUCUGCAUUUGCAUGCCAGCUCAAACAGGAACGGAGCUCUGCUGGAACGGACAGGAUGCCACCCUUGCCGAAACCUGGCAGAGGGGACGUGGAGGGAGCACCAUUUGACGUAAAUGAAGACAAGGACAAUGAUCGAGACUGAAAGAGAGUUAAUUGAAAAGGAGUAGCGAGCUCUGAUCUGCAGAUUGAGCUCCUUAGUAGGAUUCGGGUAACCCGUUCUGGUGUGGAAAUAAACAAAAAUUUCCCAGAUGAGAACAAAUAGAGGCUAUUUACUCAGUCAUCCACUGUCACUUGCAUUUUGCAGCGUCUUGAAGAGAGAAAGGAAGUGAUGCUACCAGAGUAGCAAGCAGCUGUUUGGCUUCUCCACCAAGAAACACAUGAAAAAGUGAAGUUAAACUUCAGAUGAGCGAAAAUGUUCUGAUACUAAGAGCUGUUGGGCUUUGGGAUGGGGGACUGAAAGAGUCUGCAGAAUCAGAAGUGCAGCCUGAAGAACGGAUCUUUUCCCAUUCUUUAACUGCUUUACAAGGGAAGAGAAAACACGUCAUCUGUCUCGUGCUGCAUCCCGCGCGUUGACGUUACUAAAUGGUAAGAAAAAGCAUCAUUUCACGUUUGUGCCUAAAAGAAGAAACAUAUUUUUCUGUAUUUUUUCUAAAUUGAUAGUGAUUUUUAAAGAACUUACCACUUU